GUCUACUCUUGCCGGCCACUUCAUUAGAGCUAGACCUUAAUACAGUUUUUUUGGUCCAUGUUGACACGAUAGCACCACACACUUGCUGCAGAUUCUUCGCAUAACCACGAUGCACAUUUUCUGUUACAUCACAUCCUAAUUGUGCUCUGUUCGAUUGUGAUCUGGAGACUGUGGAGCCUAUUUGAAUACAGUGAAAUAAUUUUCAUGUUCAAGACACCAGUUUGAAUUGAUGUGAGCUUCGUGACAUGCUGCACGCUGUGCCAGAUAGGUAGCCUGUCCAUGGGUGUACUGUACAGCAGCAGUCCCCAACCCCUGGGCCACGGACCGGUACCGGUCUAUGAGUCGUUUGGUACCAGGCCAUGAGAGUUGAGGCUUGGGUGUGAAAUUUAUGGUUUUCAGGGUUUUUAUCGUUAUUUUUUAUCAUUAACUCAGUUUCCCUGGGUCUUUUGUUUGUGUGUUAUGAAUAAAUUUUCUUUUUUUUUUUGGUACCGGUACUGGUUUUAUUUUGUUGUAUUUAUCCAUGACACCUUAAAGGCCGGUCCACAAAAAUAUUGUCGGACAUAAACCGGUCCAUGGUGCAAAAAAGGUUGGGGACCGCUGCUGUACAGCACCUCUCGCUCUGUGGUAGCUUGCAUAGAUUCUGGCCUCCCAGAGACCCUAAAUUAGCAGAAGAGAAUGGAUAGAUGAAUAAAUGGAUGGAUGGAUGGCAUUUCUUUUGCCUCCCUAUCAGCUUUAAGCAAUCUGACCAUUCUCUCUAACCUUUGGUAUCAAUAUCUUCUCCCUGAGAAUUUCCACUCACUGAAUAGUUUAUCUUUUUCAUAUCAUUUUCUGUAAAACCUCUAUAUGAUUUUUCAGGAAAGUAGAUCAAUCACAGUAGAUGCUUGGGCCAACCCAUCUGGCACCAAGAACCAUACUACUGUCACUUAAAUUCUUCCUUUCCUAUCUUCCUCAUCCUGAUUGUAAGUUUGAACUUCAGCAGGUCAUCGUGACCAUGUCUUCAUGCCUAAAUGCAUCAAGUUGUUGAUAUGUAAUUGACUAGAGAAUAGAGAAAAGACUGGAAAAUGCAACGAUUUUAAGGACAUCAAAGUAGCUGAAUCAUAUUUGAGAGUUACAUUAAAAGGAAAUUAGUGCACCAAAUUAG
ensembl:lncRNA